GAUGAAGAACGUAGCGAAAUGCGAUAAGUAAUGUGAAUUGCAGAAUUCAGUGAAUCAUCGAAUCUUUGAACGCACAUUGCGCCCGCCAGUAUUCUGGCGGGCAUGCCUGUUCGAGCGUCAUUUCAACCAUCAAGCCCCCGGCUUGUGUUGGGGACCUGCGGCUGCCCGCAGGCCCUGAAAACCAGUGGCGGGCUCGCUGUCACUCCGAGCGUAGUAGCAUAUAUCUCGCUCAGGGCGUGCUGCGGGUUCCGGCCGUUAAAAGCCUUUUUUUACCCAAGGUUGACCUCGGAUCAGGUAGGAAGACCCGCUGAACUUAAGCAUAUCAAUAAGCGGAGGU
rnacentral:misc_RNA from 1 species